rnacentral:rRNA from 1 species
UGUUCCACAUGAGCGCAUGCGAGUGUGGGAAAGGCUUUUUGCGGCAUGGGAUGGGGUCGCGUCCUAUCAGCUUGUUGGUGGGGUAACGGCCUACCAAGGCGUUGACGGGUAGCCGGCCUGAGAGGGCGACCGGCCACAUUGGGACUGAGAUACGGCCCAGACUCCUACGGGAGGCAGCAGUGGGGAAUAUUGCACAAUGGGCGCAAGCCUGAUGCAGCGACGCCGCGUGGGGGAUGACGGCCUUCGGGUUGUAAACUCCUUUCGCUAGGGACGAAGCGCAAGUGACGGUACCUGGAGAAGAAGCACCGGCUAACUACGUGCCAGCAGCCGCGGUAAUACGUAGGGUGCGAGCGUUGUCCGGAAUUACUGGGCGUAAAGAGCUCGUAGGUGGUUUGUCGCGUCGUUUGUGUAAGCCCGCAGCUUAACUGCGGGACUGCAGGCGAUACGGGCAUAACUUGAGUGCUGUAGGGGAGACUGGAAUUCCUGGUGUAGCGGUGGAAUGCGCAGAUAUCAGGAGGAACACCGAUGGCGAAGGCAGGUCUCUGGGCCGUCACUGACGCUGAGGAGCGAAAGCGUGGGGAGCGAACAGGAUUAGAUACCCUGGUAGUCCACGCCGUAAACGGUGGAUGCUGGAUGUGGGGCCCCUUCCACGGGUCCCGUGUCGGAGCCAACGCGUUAAGCAUCCCGCCUGGGGAGUACGGCCGCAAGGCUAAAACUCAAAGAAAUUGACGGGGGCCCGCACAAGCGGCGGAGCAUGCGGAUUAAUUCGAUGCAACGCGAAGAACCUUACCUGGGCUUGACAUGUGCCUGACGAUCCCGGAGACGGGGUUUCCCUUCGGGGCGGGUUCACAGGUGGUGCAUGGUCGUCGUCAGCUCGUGUCGUGAGAUGUUGGGUUAAGUCCCGCAACGAGCGCAACCCUCGCCGCGUGUUGCCAGCGGGUCAUGCCGGGAACUCACGUGGGGCCGCCGGGGUUAACUCGGAGGAAGGUGGGGAUGACGUCAGAUCAUCAUGCCCCUUACGUCCAGGGCUUCACGCAUGCUACAAUGGCCGGUACAACGGGGUGCGACACGGUGACGUGGGGCGGAUCCCUGAAAACCGGUCUCAGUUCGGAUCGCAGUCUGCAACUCGACUGCGCGAAGGUGGAGUCGCUAGUAAUCGCGGAUCAGCAACGC